rnacentral:tRNA from 1 species
GCCGCUGUGGUGAAAUUGGUAGACGCGCACGACUCAAAAUCGUGUGGGAGCGAUCCCAUGUCGGUUCGACUCCGACCAGCGGCA